AAAAAUAAAAAAUUCAUAAAAAAUAUCAAAUGAUAAAAUAAAAAAUAUUAAAAAUCAUUUUCAGAAACUAGAAAUUAAAAGAGAAAUAAUGCAAUUGGUCUCAUAUUUUUUGGAAUUAAAAUGAGAGAGAUAUGAUUUUUUGAAAUAAAAUGAAAUAAAAGAAAUAAAAGAAAUUAAAAUCAGAAAUAAAAAAUGAGAAAAAACAUGGUGCGUUGGAUUUAGGCUCAUUAAUUGAGUUGGCGUAUCAAACGAU
rnacentral:lncRNA from 1 species